rnacentral:rRNA from 1 species
CAAUAGCGUAUAUUAAAGUUGUUGCAGUUAGAACGCUCGUAGUCGGAUUUCGGGGCGGGCCGACCGGUCUGCCGAUGGGUACGCACUGGUCGGCGCGUCCUUCCUUCCGGAGACCGUGCCUACUCUUAACUGAGCGGGGGCGGGAGACGGAUCGUUUACUUUGAAAAAAUCAGAGUGUUUCAAGCAGGCAGCUCGCUCUUGCAUGGAUUAGCAUGGGAUAAUGAAAUAGGACUUUGGUGCUAUUUUGUUGGUUUCGAACACCGAAGUAAUGAUUAACAGGGACAGUCAGGGGCACUCGUAUUCCGCCGAGAGAGGUGAAAUUCUCAGACCAGCGGAAGACGAACUACUGCGAAAGCAUUUGCCAGGGAUGUUUNCACUGA